rnacentral:tRNA from 1 species
GGGACUGUGGCUCAGUGGUAGAGCGCUCAUCUAGCACAUGGGAGGCUCUGGGUUCGAUCCUAAGCACCA